GACUGGCAAUGACUUUCUAAAAUUCUAAGACUAGAAUCGUUAGACGCAGCACACUGCACGAUUUUAAGCACCAACUGUAAACACCGACUGAACGCAACUGGCUCUGACUCGGCGCGAUUGGACAUGAUCAGUCUAACUAGAGUACAUCAGCUCCAGUUUGGAUCCAACCUCUUAUGAAGAAUUCAGAUGCCUCAACACCUGUGAAGAAAUUAUGCUGACCACUAUGAGGACUUAAGAUGACGCAAACUCUAGAUCAACAUGCACCAUUCCAAAUUUUGCUAUAUAUCCUAAUCAUUUGUUACAUGUAUUCAUUACUUCAAUGCGCUCAUGGCUUCUGCCUUAAAUUAAUACACUGUGUAAAUUAAUACAUUGUUAGCUAACUGCAUGAUUUGUUGAAAUUACAUAACUUGGACACAGUCACCUCUGAUAACGGAUUACUCUAAAUUAUGAUGUUGACAUGCAUUUUCUGUAAAGCUGCUUUGAAACAUGUAUUGUGAAAAGCACUACAAAUAAAUAUGAAUUGAAUUAU